AAUGAGUGUUUCUCUGCUCCUCUCAGGUUUGUUCUAUGCUGCUAAGCAUUAACAGUGGAGCACACCAAGGCCGGCCGCAGAGAAAUGAGACUAGGGGAACAUUUGCUGAUUUUGGAGGAUGUGGCAUGCAGCUGCCUGAACUUAACUCAGAAAAGGCUGUGGACAGACGAGAAGGGGACCGUGGCCCACGCCGGCCUGUUCACCGGGCGCUCCCUCUGUUGCCCAUGAAUGCUCUGAAGGAAGAUGUGGCAAAGCACCUGCCAUUGCAAAGGGAAAGGAAAAUAACAGUGCUGCUG